rnacentral:rRNA from 1 species
UACGGAGGGUGCAAACGUUGCUCGGAAUUAUUGGGCGUAAAGCGCACGUAGGCGGUCUAGCAAGUCGGGUGUGAAAGCCCUCAGCUUAACUGAGGAAGUGCAUUCGAAACUACUAGGCUUGAGUACUGAAGAGGACGACGGAAUUCCCGGUGUAGAGGUGAAAUUCGUAGAUAUCGGGAGGAACACCAGUGGCGAAGGCGGCUCACUGGUCCGGUACUGACGCUGAGGUGCGAAAGCGUGGGGAGCAAACAGG